GUUACGUAAUAAAUGGAUGCUGCCUUUGAUAUUUUUCAAAAUUGCCUAAAAGACUUCUGAAGGACUGAAAACAAACCAUCAGCCAUUAAAAAUAAUGCAAUGCAUAAUCAAAAUCAUUGCCGGGGCCCGUAGCGUAUUGGCUACACGUUCACUUCAUAAGUGGAUGGUCAUUAGGCCGUCCCUUAUUUUGCAAAAUUUAGAAAUGUUAUAAGUUCGUUAGUGGAAAAUGAUCGUUUUAGCUAAAAAAUGAUCGUGUCAAAAUUUGAAGUCCGUAUCUCAAGGCUAAGUAGUCCCUCAAGAGGCCUAAAGUUGUCAAAAAUUGUAUGGGACCAAAAAAACAUGAAUUUUUUUUCGACAAAAAAAUACGCUAUUCUACUAAAACCGGUGAUUUUAGGACCCUGAAGGGCCAAAAAUGUGCUUAGAUUUGCGAUAUCUCUACUCGUUUUUGAGUUAUUGAACAAAAUAAGGUAAAUUUCCUUCGGAAUCUAAAAAAAUGGUCAAAAAUGCUGAUUUUUCAGUUGUUUUUUUGUCAAUAUCUUGGAAACGAGUAGAGAUAUCGCAAAUCUAAGCACAUUUUUGGCCCUUUAGGGUCCCAAAAACACCGGUUUCAGUGGAAUAGCGUAUUUUUUUUGUCGAAAAAAAUUUCAUGUUUUUUUGGUCCCAUACAAUUUUUGACAACUUUAGGCCCCUUGAGGGACCACUUAGCCUUGAGAUACGGACUUCAAAUUUUGACACGAUCAUUUUUUAGCUAAAACGAUCAUUUUCCACUAACGAACUUAUAACAUUUCUAAAUUUUGCAAAAUAAGGGACGGCCUAAUGGUCAUGGGUUCGAUCCCAGCCCCGGCACUUGCAAUUUUUCGUCAGUUACUCUUCCCCCCGAGAGCGGCUGGCACCUGACCCUCUUCAGAGCAUAUGCUCCAACGGACCCGAAAACCUGGAUAUCGGCUAACGGCAACUCGUAAUGGACCCCCAAUCGGACUGGAAAAGGAACAAGAGCCACACAUCAACAUCCCCGUGCUCAUCAUUCUACCAUGAUAGGCUAGAAAGUGAAAGUAGCGCAACGGAAUCCAGUUCGAUCUAGUAGAAUUAUAAUAGAAUACAUUUAGGCGCUGUACAAAGUGUAAGUACAGCAUCCAAUUGGAAUCGCUCACGCAGUGCCCUAGUGGACAAUAGAGCUGUAAAUUAGGUUAAGUAAUUGAAGAAUAAAAAUAAUCAAAAUCACUUGUUGCCAAAACAUUGUCAUCUGUCCAGAUGUAGUUGUGGAGCAAGUGAGGAUUUAUUAUUGAUGUUAUUCCUUUACAUGUUACAUAUUAAGCACCAUCGCGCAAUCUGUAUAUUAACUUUUUUUUCACAAGUAUCAAAUCGCUUUGCGGUCUUUGACGAAGCUUUUAGCACAUCUAAGGCUAUAUCUUAACAUCAUCGGUUAUAUAGUUGAAGAAAAAUUCAAGACCUUUAUGAAAAAAAAAAUGCAAGAGUGAGUGUUCUCAUAAAAAUUUCAAUCGCAUUGCAAAAUACGGGGACGCAUCCAAAUUUUGCACAGUUGUUUAAAAAAAAAGACACUACACCGUCUUCAACCAGAGGUUGUACAGACUGAACAAACACUAACAACGGACAACACACAUAAAACCCAGUGGAGAAUUUUCCGUUUGACGAAAAGUUUUCCCCGACUGGAGCGGGAAUCGAACCCACACUCCGAGGCUUACGAAACGUCUAGAACACUGACGCCUCUAGCCGCACGGUCACGAAGCCCACAUGCAUAUUGUCUGAAAAAACUUUGUUCCGGGUUGAUGUGAUCAAAUUUAAAUUUUCCCAUACAACGUUAACCCACUCUAAUAACUAUUUUUUAGUUUAUUGACCAGAACAUAAAAAUUCAGUUUACAACUACGCUUCUUUGCAACGUCGCCUCGUGGGAGAAAAGUCGUACCCUUUGUGUGGCUCAGUUGAACAGUAGGUACAGAGUAUUUAGUGUACUCGGUCAAUAGGGCGAUUAUAUUUUCCUUCCAUAAACGUAUUAUUAAUCUUUCCACGGAGACAGGCCGGACCGGGCACUUGUGUCGUGUGUGCCCCAAGGUACGCAUAUGCGGCCGCCGUAGCUAGUCAUUUUUAUUUCAUCCACUUUGUCGCAUGCUCCAUCAUCGACGCGACGAAGACGGGUGUGUUCGGAGCGCGCGCGCCUUCGGAGGCCUAAUGCUUAACUACGACUUGUAGGCAGUGGUCUUGAUUGAUUAGUUAGUUAGUUCGCCGCCAGAUUUGCCCACACGGCGGCUGGGGUGGAAGUGGCAACGAUCAUCAUCACGCUGCGGUUGCUGAUGGCUGCUGGCUGGGUCGGUGAUUUGUCACUCGCUUGCCCGCAUAAUAUGUGAAGCGGUAUUUGUAUUAGGGAAACUGGGUCAUUAAGGGAGCUUUUAAAUCUUGAUGAGAGGCGUCUUAGCGAGCUGCAUGUAGCUGAAGGUGAGAACGCGCAGCUUUUCAGCAGGGGUGUCUGGGUUCGAUUUCUGGUUCUGGUCGUAUCUAAUCUUUUCGUAUUAGAAAUUUCCUUGGUUUUUACGUACAUAGAGUAUCAUCGUGCUUGACAUUCGAUAUGCAAAAAUCUUCAGCUGAUAAUGAAAAGCUGCCCCUAUCCGUACCAGUAACUGUGCAACUCAAAUCAGUUACAUUAUGAACAUCUCUCUCUCUCUCUCUCUCCUAACUAAGGCAACAGUAAGACUAUGGAGAAGAUGAUUAGGCAAUCCUUAAUUGAACCAAAAAAAGUUCUGAACUGCAUAACUCUAUGCUUAUAAAGUUGUAAAGUACUCGAUAUUUGUGAAAUACGUGUCUGAUUUAAAAGUCUUGUUCUAUGUGAAAUGUGAAAUCGUGUAACCGCUUCAAGAAAGAGAUUUACAUGAGAAAUCUUCAUCAAAGCGACCAAUCGCUAAUACUUCAAAGUCAGCUAGACUUUAGUGUUGAGCUUUCAAUAGAUCACAACCAAAGCCAAUUGAUUAAUACUUGGAAUGAGCGGAUCUCAUCGCAGUUCCUUUGAACGAUUUGUAGCACGCUAAAGAGCAGUCAACCCAAUAAAAAUAUGCACAAAAACGAUCUUCACGGUCAGUAUGCAUUCCACAACGAACAACGGAAUCCCUUCACAGUAGAGCAAGGCAAAACAAUAUUCAAUACGAGCCGGUCGGUAUGUAAACGUUAGUCCCCUUGGCUCUUCUUCAAACCCGUAUUGGCCGCUAGCAACAACAUUGCACACAGAACAUAAUCUACCAUGACUGCGACGAAGAUGACGGACGAUCUAUCUUCUUCCAUUUCAUCAAAUAAGCGCAAAGACCUCCACAAAAGCAGAAGAAAACGACGCGAUGGAGAAAAACACUUGAAUAUGCUCCCGACUCCUAUCAUCAUAUCCGUGUUGUUGCUCCAUCAUCGUCAGUCGUGGCGGUUGGUAGGUUGGUUGGUGGAACCCACUUUUCCAUACACUUCUUGUGGGAUUUUUUGAGAAUCUUCAUCCAGUUUCUCCGUAGGUACCACCAACAUAACCAAGACGAGCAAAGCCGGGAGAGCGAAACCUCCACGCUGCCGGCCGCAUUCCACGUCCCUUUCGAACUGGCUGGGUUAAAGUGUAUAUUGUAUGUACAUCGAAAUUCCAGCAUCAUAAAUGAGGCACGGUAAAGUAAACACAUGCGCGUUUACCAAGAGAAAGAGAGCGCUCUGAAGAGGUAUCAGCCAUGCAAUGUGCUACGAGGAGAUAUUGGGCCAAGGUGUUAACUCAAGAUUAAAGUAUCUACAAUAAUUUGAUGAUAUUCAAAACACUCAAUAUACUUCAGAAUUAUUACAGAAAUUUGUGAACACUAUUAGAAAUCCUUGAACGAGCUUAAAAAUUGUGACAAUCCGAGAUAUAAGCAAAAAAACUCCGUCCAAGUGAUAUUCAUUUUACACCACUGCCUCCUAGUACCAUUUAUUUGUAUGGAGAAUGAGCCGUUGGAAAUUAGUGCAUUAGGUGAUAAUGUACGCUGUCCGAAAGGCAGGAAUUUACCGUGUCAGUUAGUGGUAUGUAUGUCUUCUGCUGGGGUGUAUCCAGGUUGUUGUAAACACCUUAAUACACGUGGAGCAAACACGCAUGGCCCAGAAUGUCUACUUUUGGAGCACAAGUCUUAUUUAUACACGUUUGUAUUAAACUGUAAAAUAUAAUUUGUACUACUUAAACUGUCCUCUGCAGACGUUGAUAUAUGCUUGUUUUUCUUUUGGAAAAGCUGUAAGCAGUGCGACCCCGAUAAUGUAUACAAGGACCACCAUACUACCGAAAUUUGAGUUCUUUUGACGUGACCUUAUAGUUUGGCCCUUAUUUGAGUAAAUUGAUUAACCUUACAGUAGGUAGCUUGCCUUUAAUUCCAGCAAAAUAAUAUACUUAAGAGUAGGUAAAUGCAACCCAAACUUGAGUUUUUUAACCUCAUUUUUUACAAAAAUGAUGCCCAAAUCUGGCUUUAAUUAAUUUUGGAUAAUUAUUUGGAAGCUUUUUUUAGUUAAAUAAAAACAUUAGUACUGAUGUACUAAUACAUUCUAAGAAAAUUCUCUUAGGUAAAGCUAAUUUUCCUGUUGCCAAGUAGAGCGCUCAAGUAAAAUUCCACCUUUUUCCGUAAGUAAUUUUGACAUUUGUUUAACUGACAGCAAUUUAACGAAACGAUGCUGUAAGAAGGAUGCGAAGAAAAGGGCAUCAAAUUGUUUACGAUUUGGACUUAGAGAAAUUUCGUUUCGUUCGUUUCCUCAGGAAAUGUUAUUGAAAUCGAAUGUACUUUUUCGCGCGCUUGUGGGAAAAAUGAUUCAAUAAUUCUUUAAAUUGAAGAAGAGAGAGUCGAUGAAGAGAACUCUCAAUCUAGAAUUUAUAACUUUACACCGUCUUCGACCAUUGCUGGCCUUUUCUGGGGAAAAUCCUCGGGAAAAUUCAAAUAGUGAGAUGCCAACGGAGUUGCGAAGCUUUCCACGGAAAAUAAUGAUGAGAGACAUUGCGCUGGGAUUCUGGGGGAACUUUUAAUGGUAUAACAGCGAGAACUAUGGAUAGAUACUAAUUAUAAAUUCUGCGGACUACGGUGGGAGGAAUUCUGCUGGGACUCUGGCGGUUACUUCAUGGAGUUUUUGAAUAAAUACUGGGACAAAGCUUCACGGGAAAUUUUAUGAAGAUCCACGAAGGAUUCUUUGUGAUGAAUCUUCUGGCAUACGAAGGAUUUUAUCUGGGAUUUUGCAGAAAAUCCUCUUGAAAUUCUUCCAGGUGUUCCACCGGAACAUCCACUAGGAGUUCGCCGGGGAAUUUCUACAAAACAACCUUCCAUGAAGGAUCUAGUGUUUUUUUUUUCAGGAUUUAAUAGCAUGGGAUCUUGUAGGAGUUCCUUCAGGGUUUUCUCCAGAGGUGUUUUCUAAUAUUCUACCAGGAGUUUUUUUGAACCAUCCUCCAUUAACUUUAACCGGGAUUUCUUUAGUAUUUUUUUUCCGGGAUUCACUCAGAUAUUCAUUCGGAGAUUCCUUCCGGGAUCAUUCCAAGAGUUCCGUCUAGGAAUUCUACAGGAAUGCAUUAUAAGAUUUCUCCAGGGUUUUUUUUCUAAAAUAGAACUAUUUGGGAUCCCUCUAGGUUUUCUCUGGGCAUUUCUUAUAUGAAUCCUCAAAGAAUUCCUUUUGGGAUUUCUACAGGAAUUGUUUAUCAAAUUUAUCUAUAGUUUCUUCUGGUUUUUCUCCAGGAUUUUCUUUUAAGAUCACACCUGGAGUGGCAUCAGGGAGAUUUCUCCAAAGAUUCCUCCAGGAAUUCCUCCGAAGAUUUCUUCAGAAAUUCCUCCUGAGAUUUCUCCAAUAAUUCCUCCGGAGAUUCCUGCAGUAUUUUUUUCGGAAACUCCUCAGGGAAAACCUUCCGGAGAUUCCUCCAUAAAUGCCUCUAAAAAUCCCUCCAGGAAUUCCUCCGGAAAUUCUUCCAGGAAUUCCUGAAGGAAUCUCCGAAGAAAUUAAUGUAGGAAUCUUUAUAGGAACUCCUGGAGGAGUUUCCGCAGGAACCGCCAGAGGAAUUCCUGAAGGAAUCUUCGAAGCAAUCCCGCAGGAAUCUCCGAAAGAAUUUCUGGAGGAAUCUCCGUAGGAAUUCCUGAAGGAAUCUUCGAAGGAAUGCCUGGAGGAAUCUCCGAAGAAACUACUGCAGAAAUCUCUUGAGAAAUUCUUGGAGGAAUCGUGGAAUUCUUGGAGGAAUCUCCGGAAGAAUUCUUGGAGGAAUCUCCGGAGAAGUUCUUGGAGGAAUUUCCGGAGGAAUUCUCGUAGGAAUCUCCGCAGGAAUUCUCAAAGGAAUAUCCGCAGGAAUUCUCGGAGGAAUCUCCACCGGAAUUCUCGGAGGAAUCUCCGCGGGAAUUCUCCAAGGAAUCUCCGGAAGAAUUCUCGGAGGAAUCUCCGGAAGAAUUCCCGGAGGAAUCUCCGGAAGAUUUCCCGGAGGAAUCCCCGGAAGAAUUCCCGGAUGAAUUUUCGGAAUAAUUCCCGGAGGAAUCUCCGGAAGAAUUCCCGAAGGAAUUUCCGGAAGAAUUCCCGGAGGAAUCUCCGGAAGAAUUCACGAAGGAUUCUCCGGAAGAAUUCCCGGAGGAAUUUCCGGAAGAAUUCCCGGAGGAAUCUCUGGAGGAAUUCCUGAAAGAAUCUCCGGAGGAAUUCCUGGAAGAAUCUCCGGAGGAAUAAAUUAUUAGAGAAAUCUUAGAAGGAAUUUCUGAAGUUAAAAGACAAUUACACCGUCUUCGACCAUUGCGGGCCUCUUCAGACUGAACAUAACUAACAUUCGACAACGGACAACACCAAGGUUGCAACCAUUCAUUUGCAAAAAAUUACAUUCAUUUGCUAUUAUCUCAGUUCAGAAGUAUGCUAUCGAAAAACAAUGUAUGGAUGAAUUUAACCUUGUAGUUUUAUCUGAAAGUUUGCCGAAUAACAUUGGGGUCGCACACGCAUUCCAAAGUCGUGAGGGAGAUGUGAAGGCAACUUUCCACAGCGUGAAUGAAAUUUAUAUUCACCAAUAUACGGCGAACCCAGCAUCCAGAAGGUGGCCAAAGCCGGAAGGAUACGGUGGGCAGGGCGCGUUGCAAGAAUGCCGGAUAACAACCCUUGUUAGGGAGUAUAUUCGGACCUCUUAAUUGAAUCGCACGAUGAUGUUCCUGUGCCGAGCUCUUUAAGCUGGGGAAGACGUUUAUUAAUAACAAAAGGCAGUUUUACUCAACUAAUGGCAACUUACAAACCGGUCUCCUUGGUGAUAUCUUCCCCAACGAUAUUUAAUUCAAACUUUCUUCAGCAAGACUAAUUGGACUAUUCUUAUACCUGCUAAAUCAUAGAAUUUAUGUUCUUGGUUUUAGGUGGAGAUAUCGAGAACUUACAGUCAACGAAUCCAAUUCUUUCGCGAGCAUAGACGUUCAGAUGAAUCGUAUCCUACGGUAACCUAUUCUCGGUAGAGCAAGAAACUAAUUCAAAUUCGAUACAAUAACUGGUGAACAACUUUAGAUAAAUUUGCAAUAAUAAUUACUACCAAAUCAAUCCUAUACAGCUGCUGCUACGUAGAUGACUUGCGAUAUCACUUCUCUAUCUUCUCAUCCUGACAUUCGAUACGCCACACUGACAUUCGGUACGAAUCGAACUACGCGAGAUUGAUGUCAAUUGGUGCGCGCGGAGUCCGAUCGGGGGGUGUCUCGGAUCGAUUCAGUAUUCAAAUUAUCAGUGCUGCCAGCGUUGGCAACAACCCUGCAAAGUUGGUGUUUGCUACCCAUCCGGUUGGUACAAGAAGGCGUGGAGCGCAGAGAGCACGAUGGGCGGACCAGGUGGAGCGUGAUCUGGCGAGUGUUGGGCGCGACCGAGGUUGGAGAGCUGCAGCUGCAAAUCGAGUAUUAUGGCGGCAAAUUGUUGAUUCAGUAUUAUCAUGAAUUUGAUGUUAACUAAAUAAAUGAACUCAGACCAUAUCUGAACCGGUAUUGUUCCGCAACCGGUGAACCAAAUCCGUGCUUGCGACACAUCGAAUUAAUCGCGCCUUUUUCGAUAUCCUGAUGAACAAUUACGUAGAAAAUAGGCUCAGACUACAUUAGAAACUACCGGUAGGGUUCCGAAACCGGUUCUGGGUGUCCCAUCGGAAGUGGUCAAAUGCAAAAGAGAACCAAACCCAUACAUGCAGAUGCAACAUAUCAAAUGGCCUUUAGGUAACCUAAAGAACGGUUAAAGAUAGACUCAGACCAUAUCCAAACCUAUCCAUAUCCUACCGGAAGCGGUAAAGUGUAUAAGGGAACCAAACCCACGCGACACAUCAAUUUGGGGUAUUUUCGAUAACCUGCUGAAUGGUGUGCAAGUCAAUAGCAUCAGGUCACUUUAUAGACUACCCGUAGUGUUCCAAAACCAGUUUCUGGUGUUCCACCGAAAAUGGUCAAAUGUAAAAGUGAGUCAUACCCAUUAGGCCUGUCCAGCUUUUCAAAAAUGUUCUCUGAUUCUCAAGUCCACCCCCAUAUUUUGAUUAGCAUCCUAUAAGAAGUAACUGGUCAAAAUUUCAGCCAAAUCCAUUGAAAUUAAGAGGUGCAUCAAAUCAAUUUUGUGUUUUUCGACUAUUUUUGAACUUCAAAAAAUCAUAACUACACUAAAACAUGUCAAAACUUAAUUCUUUCGGCAGAAAUUGAAAGCUAUACUUGUUUGCUACAACUUCUCCGAACAACGUGUGCCAAUAAACCCGAAUAAAAAAUACAGUAGAAAAACCGAAUGUUGUAUUGUAACAGUACUAUUUAAAACCAUAUUGUUACAAUAAACACCACUGUAAAAAUAAAAAAUACAAAAACAAUAAGAUGUAAUGUUAGACACCAUACAGUGAAUUGUAAAUGAGAUUUUUACAAUAUACUAUACGGGUUGUUAAGUAUCGUAACAAUAUAAAAAAAUAUUUUUCUCCAUAUAUAUUUUUUUACAAAACCAUACAUUUUAUUGUAAAUGAAUUGUUCGAAAUACUGAUACGUGGGCUUUAAUAUACCGUACAUUGUAUGGUACACGUAUGGUUUCAAACAAUAGAAUGUACCGUAAAUAUAUUGUUUUUAAUUGUAAUUUCACUACUGGUUAUAAAUUUAAUCAUGGUUUUGGAAUGGUUCUAAGGGCCCAUAUAGCCGAGGCGGUAAACGCACGGGUAUUCAGCAUGACCAUGCUGAGGGUGACGGGUUCGAUUCCCGGUCGGUCCAGGAUCUUUUCGUAAAGGAAAUUUCCUUGACUUCCUUGGGCAUAGAGUAUCUUCGUGCCUGCCACACGAUAUACGCAUGCAAAAUGGUCAUUGGCAGAGGAAGCUCUCAGUUAAUAACUGUGGAAGUGCUCAUAGAACACUAAGCUGAGAAGCAGGCUUUGUCCCAAUGAGGACGUUACGCCAAGAAGAGAGAGAGAGGAAUGGUUCUCUUUUGUUAUGUUGUAUUGUUUUACAUUAGAUAAACCAUAUAAUGUUAUAUUAUCUCGUCAUGUUCCUUCGAUAAUGGCAGUUCUAGCCAAACUAACCUAAACUCGUCUAAGUCUGAGUAGCCUCUCAUUGCAUUAACAGUUGAAGCUUAAGCUCCCAUGUCCCACCAGCCAGAUAACCGGGUUUUGCAAACUAAGCAUUAUUUGUGGCAACACUUUGAGCGGCAUGAUGGAACUAUGCCUAGCACGCUAAGUGUUAUUAGACCACUAAUGUAGUUGCAUGAAGUGGGUGACGAGGUACAUAAGUAUCAUUACAGCGUGCUUAACCAUUAUUGCAAUAUUGAGGCUCCAAUUUGACUGAACUAUGAAAUGUGUACAUAACAACUCAUGAGAAAACUGUCAAGUUCGAUUCAACUAUAAGUUAGGUUAAAAAGCGAAGACGAACUUAUUUCAGAAGUCGUUUCAGUGUCCAGUCCAGUCCUUAUGUUAAAAAUGUCAUAGAUAAAUCGCAUUUAAUUCGGUUCUUGUACAAGGCAAUCUCACAUGAGAGAAGAAGAGAAAGAAUAGUGUUGAACUCAUCCACUGAUUUACGGUAAUCUGGCCUGCGUCUUUCCGGGUUGACCUACAUUCGUAUUCCUCUCAUCGCACUCUACAUACCUAGCCCACCAUAUCUCUUGGAUAUGCAGUCCUUAGGACACCUGGUUUACCACUUUAUUUAAACAUUUUAUUGACUUUAAAUAGAUGUUUCAACUUAUUCACUUUUUUCUCUUUCAUUUCCUUUGCAACAAAAAUGUCACGGACAUCAACAAAACAAAGCACGGAAAAAAUCAUAAACUGAAUAAAAAAUUAAAAAUGCACGGAAAAAGAUUGUUUCGGAAUAGUGAAUGGUUCAAACGUAAGAAAAACAGUAUAAUAUAUUGUUACAUAAAGAUCGGAUGUAAAUGUAAUAGCUACCAAUGUGCAAAGCUUUUAGCGAACCAUUCCAUUACAAUACACUAUAUUGUAGCUGGUACACUGUAUGGUACAGGAAUGGUUUUCACCAAAUACCCUAUGGUUAGUUUUUAUCCGGGAAAUUGAAGGAAACAUGUGUAAUUAUCACAUUUGUAAUCAGAAAAACCUUAAAAAGUUGAUUUUUUGAUAGAUUUUGUUCUGGAAUACGUAAUAAGUUGGAUUUUUCAAAACGGCAUCAUAUUCUCCAAUGUUUUUUGGUUAUUUGCUUCUUUGGCACCAAUGCUGUAGGAGUUGAGCAAAAAUUACUAAAAUUCGUGAAAGCCAAAUGUGGCCUAAAAACUAGCUUUUCGGGUGCAAUCACGCUUUGGCGCGCAAAAAGUGGCAUCGCGUCAGCACUGAUAUGAUAGCCAACACCUGUCAUCGCGCUUGUUUGUUAUCACCCGUGGUAGGGGGUAGCCAAGGCAAACUACUAGGAAGCAAAGCUACUACGUUCAGUACAAUUUCGCGCCACAACGUGAUUGCCUCCAAAAAGCUAGUUUUUAGGCCACAUUUGACUUUCACGAAUUUUAGUAAUUUUUGCUCAACUCCUACAGCAUUGGUGUCAAAGAAGCAAACAACCAAAAAACAUUGGAGAAUAUGAUGCCGUUUUGAAAAAUCCAACUUUUUAAGUAUAUUAGGGUGUUCCAGAACGAAAUCUAUCAAAAAAUCAACUUUUUAAGGUUUUUCUGAUUACAAAUGUGAUAAUUACACAUGUUUCCUUCUAUUUUAUUGGCACACGUUGUUCGGAGAAGUUGUAGCAGACAAGUAUAGCUUUCAAUUUAUGCCGAAAGAAUUAAGUUUUGACAUGUUUUAGUGUAGUUAUGAUUUUUUGAAGUUCAAAAAUAGUCGAAAAACACAAAAUUGAUUUGAUGCACCUCUUAAUUUCAAUGGAUUUGGCUGAAAUUUUGACCAGUUACUUCUUUUAG